AGCUAGGUGGCUAACUGGAGAAAGCACUAGGCUUGGAAUCAGGAAGACAUCUUUGCAAGUUCAAAUCUUGCCUCAGCCA
rnacentral:tRNA from 1 species